ACCUGGUGGGGUAAGGAGAGGAGAAUGUGGGCCCUGUGUGAUGGCACAGAGAUAGAUAUCUACCUUUUCUAUACUCCAUAGGGAUGUAACCUGGGAUGCUCUCAUCACAUCUGCAAGGUGCUUAAAACAGCAGCUUGGGGCUGCUGGAGGUUUUCAGUGUCAAACAGAACAAGUAAGUGCUAGGCUAGGGUAACGGUGGUGGCACUCGUGCUGAGAAGCCCAGAACCUCUGGCCAUAGAAGCCACGGGCCUGGAAGUUUUCUGAAGAUGAACCUACAGAGCUGGGGAACCUGAAGCAGGACCUAGUCAGAGGGCUGCCUUGGCUCUGCCUCUCAUUAGCUCUGGAUGAGUCUUGGAACCAUGAAGCUCCCCAUUUCCUUAACUGUGACACAGGGCAGCAGUAGGACCCACUUUCCAAGGCUUUGGUGAGCUCACAGUGAUGGAAGGCAGGUGCUUGGCCCAGGCCAGGGACACGCCAUUCUUAGGUGGCAGUUGCAGUUGUGAGAUCUCUGUCCUCUUUGCUACACAGAAGGCUGAGCUGAGGCCUAGGCAGACUGGCAAGGCUGCCUCUCCCUCUUUGCCCUAUGGCUCUGUGAGCUCUGAUGGGCACAGUUGUGAGUUGAGAGGGGUGCUGGGCAAGCUCUCAGGCACCUCAGUUCAACAUCUCUCAAGAGUGACCCAUGGCCUCCUGAAGUCUCAGGACUCACAGUCUGCCCAGCAUGAGGGCUGAUCCUGGGUGGGUAGGAAACACACUCAGUUAUAGUCUGGUCUGCAGGAAUCAGCAAUCUGUCUCUGGCUGCUGGGGCAGGGCUGUAUCUAUGUGGCGAUGAGGAAAGGGUUCAGGUUUGCAGGAUGAAGUGAAACCCUGAUUCCACCAGGCCAGCACUAUGAGCCUGCAUCUCAUCAUGCAUGGCAAUCGUACAAGGGAAGCAGAGAAUGUGAGAGAUUAGAAAGACACACAUUCUGAAACAGAAUACCAGAGACACUGAGCAAAGUCAGGACUGUGGCCCGAGCCUGGGAGAGACCCCUCUGCACACCAUCUCAGGGCUACCAGGAAGCGGCUUCAGGGCCAGCCAGGAGGCUCUGGGGGGUUCUUUCCAUGCCAUCCAGAGAUGACUAUGCUGCCACCCCAACAAGCAAAACUACUACUGGCUGAGUGGUCAAAACCCUCAGGGUCAGGAAGGGACCAAAGCUGAGCCUAGGAAGCUUGUUUCCUUCCUUCCUUCCUUCCUUCCUUCCUUCCUUCCUUCCUUCCUUCCUUCCUUCCUUCCUUCCUUCCUUUCAUUCCCUGCCUAAGAAGGCCUUGGCCUGGAAUCUCUGCCACGGACUUCAGAGAUACCAGAGUCACCAAAGCUUACUCCAGGGUCUUCCUUGAUGCCUUGAACCUUGGGAACUAGGGUCCAUCCUGCUUUCAAAGUUCCCUAAGUCUGUGUGUAUUGUGUUGAAUUUCUCAUUAGGAGGGCCGAAAUGGGCUCUGUGGUGAGUCACCAAGAAAGCCCCUCUGCUCCUCCCCUAAGCAGACACUGGUUGGCCCAACCCAUUCUCUCUCACUCCUGAAUUCACCAUGGCUACCCUGCUUUCUGGUCUGGAAGUGACAUGAGACCCUACCUAUAGAUCUUCUGGGACACAGAGGAGGGAAAAGCAACUAACACUUGCUAUCCAAGGGAUGCCAGGAACUGGACCACACCCUCACACGGUUCUUACCAUAUUGAGACAAGGGACUCCAGUAUCCCUGCUCUCGGAUGACAUGAGGGAAGCUAAGAGCCAGACUUCACAGUCAGUGGCAGGGAGGCCUGCCCUGGGGCCAGGGCUCACCCUUACAAGCCUCAGUUGCCGAGGAUUAUCUCAAAGCAGCAUGCGUGAGGAUCCAGAGGCAAUGCCUUCCACAGAGCAUACCUGCCAUGGCUCAGAGACUUGAGUCAUCCCCUGAUCCCCAUGCAGGCCUCUUACUCUCAGGGAUGGGAAAGGAAGGCGUGGAGGGUGGAUUUAAGGAGAAGGCAUCUGGUUUCCCUUAAGAUGGGACUCCCACCUUCCCCUCACAACUCUCAUUUUACCUACCCUACUCCCACUUUUGCCUUGCCUGCCAGGAAGCUCCGGCAACAUGGAACACUGCAUGGCUGCUAAUGUUAACUCCUCUUGCCUCUCUUAAUCUCUUCACUGCCACCUUUUCUGUCUCUCACACACACCAAGGCUGCUCUUGUCCCAAAGCCUUGGCACAUAUGGUAAGCUCUUCCCCAAAUGCCCAGUUUUCGGGCCGGCUACUGUCUUCUGAUACAGCCAAUACUCAGAAUCCCUCUACUUCUUCCUCCAGAACUAAGACCCCCCACCCCAGGGUCUGUGUCACUUCCUGCAGUGAAAUGUCUUAACUGCUGACUUGCUUGUCCAUCCACUGUCCAGGAAUGUCACUCAGGUGCAGCAGCCUCAUCUUGCAGGCCGUCCCUAUCCCAUUAUCUGACACCAGGGGAAAUUCGGCUAUGGGUGGAAUGAAGGUGAACAGCUGCAUAUUUGUGGCAUGUAAUCAUCCCUACAUGCCGGCUCAACCUUGUCCAAUUCUAUUUCAUGGUCCUGUGCAGAUGACUUUUACACCAAACUCUUCAGGGAUCACUCUGAGAAACCCGGUAGAAGGCGUUCCGGCUGCUGCUGGCCUGGCAAAGGAAUCAAGGUUCACGCUGGGGGAAUAUAUGCUACUGGGCCCCUUCCAUGCAGCUCAGAGAUCUCCUGAAACCUGGCACUGCUCAGAGAUACAGUCAAACAGCAGGCCUUCACUCCCGUACCAGCCUGUUCUCUGCUGGGUACCUGCACCAUGAGGAUCUGCUCUGCUCAUAGCAACCCCAGAGUGGGCCAGGCCACCUGACCUUGGAUUUGAGGCCCAAGGAAGAACUGCAGCAUUCAAUGAAGACUUCCUCUAGAGACUGUGGAGCCACAAGCCAAGGGGAAAAUAAUAGGUACCCUCCCCAAGGCCUUUCUUGGGCCCUAAGAACCUCCAUGGCCACCUUGGCAACCCGUGGCCUGGUGGUGUUGGGCCAUGACACUUCGAUGCUCAACACAGGCCCCAGAUCCUAGCAAUGAGGGAUAUGGAAACUUACAAAGGCAACGUUUGAAGAGGAUUCUGUAAGUCCCCAGAAAGGAUGUUAGUGUCCCUGGCCAUCAGUGUAAAUCCCUUCCCACAAGUCUGCAGAGCUACCCUCAUCCUCAGAUGUGCACCCCAGCUGGUAUCUGCAACCCAUCGCUAAGAGCAUCUGGCAGCUGAGACCUCCUGCUACUUGGGAGGCCAUGAAUGGUGGGCAGGGACCCCUGUCACCUACCUGCUUAUCUUGAAGAUCUGAAGAGAGCUCAUAGCUCUCAGAGAGUGACCGAGAGCGCUUGAUGGCCUCCUCCUCGGCCUGCUUGCGCAGGACGGAGGUCGAGUGCUGUAGCCGGGGCCUUCGUGUGCGCUGCUGUGGUCCUGGCCCUGCGUACAGCCCAUAGGCACCCACUGAUGUGUGCUCGUAGUGGUCUGGGCUCAGACUGGAACCAGGUACCAGGGGACCCUGGUGGUAGGCCGAGGGGCUGUCCAGCGACGUGCCAGUCUCGCUGCUGGGGGCCUCACCUUCAACACUGCAGAGGAGAGAGAGGAGAGACACACGCUAAACAGAGAAGCAGAACUUGGGGAGCAGGGCAAGGAAGAGUGCCCCUGGAUAGUCGGGAACCCGCAGAGCCCUCCGCUCUGCAUCUUCCUGGAGCUUCUGAACAACUUCCAUGUUCUGACAUCUGGCAUACUGUACUGGGAAGCUGGCUUCUCAACCAAGUGUUAGCCUCCAAAGACAGGUUUGACCUACUGUGGUGCUGAUGGCCCCAGCACUUAGAACAGAGCCUGGCCUUGCUAGGUACUCACUGUAUUUUGAAAAAAUAAGAUAACUACCUCUCCUGCUACCUGAAUUAAAUGUAGGGCUGGUACCCCCAAAUCCCCAUGACUAUGUUUGGAGACAGGAUCUUUUAAAAUUAAUUUCUCUUUAUUUUA